AAUAUUGCACAAUGGGCGCAAGCCUGAUGCAGCGACGCCGCGUGAGCGAAGAAGGCUUUCGGAGCGUAAAGCUCUGUCCUCCGGGAAGAAAAAAAUCACGGUACCCGAGGAGGAAGCCCCGGCUACCUACGUGCCAGCCGCCGCGGUAAUACGUAGGGGGCUAGCGUUGUCCUGAUUUACCGGGCUGAAAGGGUGGGUAGGCGGUAACGUCUGUCAGAUGUUUAAUCUAUGGGCUCAACCCAUAUCAGCAUUUGAAACUACGUAACUUGAGUGCAGGAGAGGUAAGGGGAAUUCCUAGUGUAGCGGUGGAAUGCGUAGAUAUUAGGAGGAACACCAGUGGCGAAGGCGACUUACUGGACUGCAACUGACGCUGAGUCACGAAAGCGUGGGGAGCAAACAGG
rnacentral:rRNA from 1 species